rnacentral:rRNA from 1 species
UACGGGGGGGCGAAGCGUUGUUCGGAAUUACUGGGCGGUAAAGGGCGCGUGAGGCGGCCCGCUAAGUCGAACGUGAAAUCCCCAGGCUCAACCUGGGAACUGCGUCCGAUACUGGCAGGCUUGAAUCCGGGAGAGGGAUGUGGAAUUCCAGGUGUAGCGGUGAAAUGCGUAGAUACGGGAGGAACACCCGCAGCGAAGGCGGCGGCUGGGCCAUUCCUGACGCUGAGGCGCGAAGGCU